CAGCCGCCGCGGUAAUACGGAGGGUGCAAGCGUUAUCCGGAUUUAUUGGGUUUAAGGGUCCGUAGGCGGACUUAUAAGUCAGUGGUGAAAGCCUGUCGCUUAACGAUAGAACUGCCAUUGAUACUGUAAGUCUUGAGUAUAUUUGAGGUAGCUGGAAUAAGUAGUGUAGCGGUGAAAUGCAUAGAUAUUACUUAGAACACCAAUUGCGAAGGCAGGUUACCAAGAUAUAACUGACGCUGAGGGACGAAAGCGUGGGUAGCGAACAGGAUUAGAUACCCCCGUAGUCCCUGUCUCUUAUACA
rnacentral:rRNA from 1 species